GUUUCCCUACGGGGGGCAGCAGUGAGGAAUAUUAGUCAAUGGGCGCGAGCCUGAACCAGCCAAGCAGCGUGAAGGAUGACUGCCCUACGGGUUGUAAACUUCUUUUAUAAAGGAAUAAAGUGAGGCACGUGUGCCUUUUUGUAUGUACUUUAUGAAUAAGGAUCGGCUAACUCCGUGCCAGCAGCCGCGGUAAUACGGAGGAUCCGAGCGUUAUCCGGAUUUAUUGGGUUUAAAGGGAGAGUAGAUGGGCUGUUAAGUCAGUUGUGAAAGUUUGCGG
rnacentral:rRNA from 1 species